GCCCCCGUAGCUCAACGGAUAGAGCGUCGGACUUCGAAUCCGCAGGCUGCGCGUUCGAAUCGCGCCGGGGGCG
rnacentral:tRNA from 1 species